GUCGUUUUUUUAUGCGGUCUAUCAUGCAAGUCGAGCGAACCAAAGGGAGCUUGCUCCCGGAGGUUAGCGGCGGACGGGUGAGUAACACGUGGGCAACCUACCUGUAAGAUUGGGAUAACUUCGGGAAACCGGAGCUAAUACCGAAUAACAAUAAGAACCACAUGGUUCUUAUUUGAAAGAUGGCUUCGGCUAUCACUUACGGAUGGGCCCGCGGCGCAUUAGCUAGUUGGUGAGGUAACGGCUCACCAAGGCGACGAUGCGUAGCCGACCUGAGAGGGUGAUCGGCCACACUGGGACUGAGACACGGCCCAGACUCCUACGGGAGGCAGCAGUAGGGAAUCUUCCGCAAUGGACGAAAGUCUGACGGAGCAACGCCGCGUGAGUGAAGAAGGUUUUCGGAUCGUAAAACUCUGUUGUUAGGGAAGAACAAGUAUCGUUCGAAUAGGGCGGUACCUUGACGGUACCUAACCAGAAAGCCACGGCUAACUACGUGCCAGCAGCCGCGGUAAUACGUAAGUGGCAAGCGUUGUCUGGAAUUAUUGGGCGUAAAGCGCG
rnacentral:rRNA from 1 species